UACGGAGGGUGCGAGCGUUGUCCGGAAUCACUGGGCGUAAAGGGCGCGUAGGUGGCGCGGGAAGUCAACGGUGAAAGUUCGGGGCUCAACCCUGAAUCGGCCGUCGAUACUCCCGGGCUCGAGCACUGUAGAGGCAGAGUGGAAUUCCGGGUGUAGCGGUGGAAUGCGUAGAGAUCCGGAAGAACACCGGUGGCGAAGGCGGUCUGCUGGGCAGUUGCUGACACUGAGGCGCGACA
rnacentral:rRNA from 1 species